UCAUUACUGAAUUGUCAACAUGAAGUUGUUGCUGGCCCUCAUGCGGGGGCAUGUGCACGCUCUGUUUACACAUCCAUUCACACCUGUGCACUCUCUGUAGUUCUGUGGUUUGGGGGCUCUGUCCUCCUACCGUGGUCCUGCAUAUUUACACAUACACACUGUGAUAAAGUCUCAUGGAAUGUAUGCCGCGUUUAACGCAAUGCAAUAUAACUUUCAGCAACGGAUCUCUUGGCUCUCGCAUCGAUGAAGAACGCAGCGAAAUGCGAUAAGUAAUGUGAAUUGCAGAAUUCAGUGAAUCAUCGAAUCUUUGAACGCACCUUGCGCCCUUUGGCUAUUCCGAAGGGCAUGCCUGUUUGAGUAUCAUGAACACCUCAACUCUCAUGGCUCGCCGUGAUGAGCUUGGACUUUGGGGGUCUUGCUGGCCUGUGGUCGGCUCCUCUCAAAUGAAUCAGCUUGCCAGUGUUUGGGGGCACCACGGGUGUGAUAAAAAUCUACGCCUGCGGUUAUCCACCAUGUAACCUUCAGUGAUGGAGGUUCGCUGGAGCUCAUAAACGUCUUUCCUCAGAGAGGACAGCUCUUCGAUUGUUUGAUCUC
rnacentral:misc_RNA from 1 species